GAACGCACAUUGCGCCCGCCAGUAUUCUGGCGGGCAUGCCUGUUCGAGCGUCAUUUCAACCCUCAAGCCCCAGUCGGCUUGGUGUUGGGGACCGGCCCCGGCCGCCCCCCAAAUGCAGUGGCGACCUCGCCGCAGCCUCCCCUGCGUAGUAGCACAACCUCGCACCGGAGCGCGGAGACGGUCACGCCGUAAAACGCCCAACUUCUCUAGAGUUGACCUCGGAUCAGGUAGGAAUACCCGCUGAACUUAAG
rnacentral:misc_RNA from 1 species